rnacentral:rRNA from 1 species
AUUGAACGCUGGCGGCAGGCCUAACACAUGCAAGUCGAGCGGAUGAAGGGAGCUUGCUCCUGGAUUCAGCGGCGGACGGGUGAGUAACGCCUAGGAAUCUGCCUGGUAGUGGGGGAUAACGUCCGGAAACGGGCGCUAAUACCGCAUACGUCCUGAGGGAGAAAGUGGGGGAUCUUCGGACCUCACGCUAUCAGAUGAGCCUAGGUCGGAUUAGCUAGUUGGUGGGGUAAAGGCCUACCAAGGCGACGAUCCGUAACUGGUCUGAGAGGAUGAUCAGUCACACUGGAACUGAGACACGGACCAGACUCCUACGGGAGGCAGCAGUGGGGAAUAUUGGACAAUGGGCGAAAGCCUGAUCCAGCCAUGCCGCGUGUGUGAAGAAGGUCUUCGGAUUGUGAAGCACUUUAAGUUGGGAGGAAGGGCAGUAAGUUAAUACCUUGCUGUUUUGACGUUACCAACAGAAUAAGCACCGGCUAACUUCGUG